rnacentral:lncRNA from 1 species
GAAAUAAUUAGGUCAAGUAAAAAAUUAUAUCUUAGAAAGAAUUAAUAUGUCAGUCCGAUUGUCUUCUAUGAUAUACAUCUAAUAGUUAGAACUCUCAUUCAAUAGAUGGAGAAGUCUGAGAGGUAGAAUAAUGGCAUACCUUUUUUGAGAUCAUCUUCGAACCUCCUUUAUGGAUGGAGGGCUGGAGCUUAGUUGGCAAGUUAGUUGGCAUGAUCUCGUGACUUGCAGGAGGUGGCGAGAUCAUUGCUCGAGAUUUUUAGGAUGUAAUAGUUAUGGUUGUCUUAUCAGUUUUGCAAUAGUUAUCGCCUGACAGGUGUGAAAUUUUUAAUUGAGUUGCCAACUAGGUAUCAUCGAGAUGAAGAUUGAUCAGCAAUGACUAAGAGUCGGUCGACUUGGGCUAUCUUUGGAUGAGGAAGUCAAAGACCAGAGACUUACUCGAAAGAGAGUGGUUAGUUAGUCUGACAUAAUCGACCGGUGGUCAUCUUUUGAUUGGGUCAAACUGGCCACUCAGAUGCACCGUCGAUUCAUCAGCCUGAGCUGCUGGAGUCGGUUGACAAGGAAGUAUCGACGAUUAUGCAUCUCAAAAAAAUAAAAGAGAUCUAUAAAGGAUCAAGAAAUCAGAUCUAAUCCGAUUUCUUUUCUCUCUUUUUUUUUCAAGAGAAAGAAGAAGACCUAAAGAAAAAGAACAAGAGAUCCAAUCUCUUUUCUUUUCUUUAAUUCCCGUCCAACUCUUGGAUUUAUUAUGGAGGAGAAGGAACCAAGAGAUUAAAUCUCUUUUCUUUUUGUCCAACUCUUGGACAUCUGUGGAGAAGAGGGAGAGAGACAAGGCAUGUCCAACUCUUGGACAAAGAAAGAGAGAGGAAGAGAUCCAUUAACAACGAACUCUUGGUUAUUAGAAAGAAAGGAUGAGGCAUCAAAACCCCAUGCCCUCUUUUGUUUUGUGCGUGAACUCUUCACGCCAACCACUUCAUAUGCCACCCCUUUAUUUCUUCUAUCUUACAUGCCUAAGUCUCUUAAAAUAUUCACCAUAAGAUAUCUCACA